rnacentral:rRNA from 1 species
UCCGGAAUUAUUGGGCGUAAAGCGCGCGCAGGCGGAUCAGUCAGUCUNUCUUAAAAGUUCGGGGCUUAACCCCGUGAUGGGAUGGAAACUGCUGAUCUAGAGUAUNGGAGAGGAAAGUGGAAUUCCUAGUGUAGCGGUGAAAUGCGUAGAUAUUAGGAAGAACACCAGUGGCGAAGGCGACUUUCUGGACGAAAACUGACGCUGAGGCGCGAAAGCCAGGGGAGCGAGCGGGAUUAGAUACCCCGGUAGUCCUGGCCGUAAACGAUGGGUACUAGGUGUAGGAGGUAUCGACCCCUUCUGUGCCGGAGUUAACGCAAUAAGUACCCCGCCUGGGGAGUACGACCGCAAGGUUGAAACUCAAAGGAAUUGACGGGGGCCCGCACAAGCGGUGGAGUAUGUGGUUUAAUUCGACGCAACGCGAAGAACCUUACCAGGUCUUGACAUUGAUGGACAGAACCAGAGAUGGUUCCUCUUCUUCGGAAGCCAGAAAACAGGUGGUGCACGGUUGUCGUCAGCUCGUGUCGUGAGAUGUUGGGUUAAGUCCCGCAACGAGAGCAACCCCUAUCUUAUGUUGCCAGCACUUUGGGUGGGGACUCAUGAGAGACUGCCGCAGACAAUGCGGAGGAAGGCGGGGAUGAUGUCAAAUCAUCAUGCCCCUUAUGACCUGGGCUACACACGUACUACAAUGGGAGUUAAUAGACGGAAGCGAGAUCGCGAGAUGGAGCAAACCCGAGAAACACUCUCUCAGUUCGGAUCGUAGGCUGCAACUCGCCUACGUGAAGUCGGAAUCGCUAGUAAUCGCAGGUCAGCAUACUGCGGUGAAUACGAUCCCGGGCCUUGCA